UACAGAGGGGGCAAGCGUUGUUCGGAAUUACUGGGCGUAAAGGGCGCGUAGGCGGCCUUCUAAGUCGAACGUGAAAUCCCCGGGCUCAACCCGGGAACUGCGUCCGAUACUGGAAGGCUUGAAUCCGGGAGAGGGAUGCGGAAUUCCAGGUGUAGCGGUGAAAUGCGUAGAUAUCUGGAGGAACACCGGUGGCGAAGGCGGCAUCCUGGACAGGUACUGACACUCAACUACGAAAGCGUGGGGAGCAAACAGG
rnacentral:rRNA from 1 species